GUUUUCAGUUUUCCUCGGUAGUUAACUGCAGCCGGUUCCAUAACUUGGCAGUUAACUGCCGAUGGACAU
rnacentral:pre_miRNA from 1 species